rnacentral:lncRNA from 1 species
CGGCCUCCCCGACGGCCGCCGCCUCCGACGCUGCGGCCGCGCCGCUCUUUGCGGCUACCACGUUCCCAUACCUCUCUUCUCCUUCCACCCUUCAGCCACUCCUAGUGCCGCGCCGCCGCAUCCUCCCACUCUCUGAUUCUCCUCGCCGCUAGGCGAUUAGGGUUUGGGGUGCCUCGUCAGCGUCACCCAUUCCCGCUAGUGGCACUGUGCCUCCCGCCCCUUCGUGUGGGCUUGCAGUGGCCCCACACCUCCGGUCCUCGCUCCCUGCUUGCGCGGUUUGCAUCGGGCUGAGGCGUUCUUCUG